GGGGCUGUGGCUCAGCUGGGAGAGCGCCUCGUUCGCAACGAGGAGGUCGGGGGUUCGAAUCCCCCCAGCUCCA
rnacentral:tRNA from 1 species